ACCCCUACGGGGGGCAGCAGUGGGGAAUAUUGCACAAUGGGGGAAACCCUGAUGCAGCGACGCCGCGUGAGUGAUGAAGUAUUUCGGUAUGUAAAGCUCUAUCAGCAGGGAAGAUAAUGACGGUACCUGACUAAGAAGCCCCGGCUAACUACGUGCCAGCAGCCGCGGUAAUACGUAGGGGGCAAGCGUUAUCCGGAUUUACUGGGUGUAAAGGGAGCGUAGACGGCAUGGCAAGUCUGAUGUGAAAACCCGGGGCUCAACCCCGGCACUGCAUUGGAAACUG
rnacentral:rRNA from 1 species